rnacentral:pre_miRNA from 1 species
AGUAGAAUUGCUGGAUUGUAUGGUAAGCUUUUAACUUUUUUAAAAACUGCCAAAUUAUUUUCCAGAGUGGUUGUAUCAUUUUACCUUCCCAUUAGCAAU